rnacentral:rRNA from 1 species
AGCGAACGCUGGCGGCAGGCUUAACACAUGCAAGUCGAGCGGGCCUUUCGUGGUCAGCGGCGGACGGGUGAGUAACGCGUGGGAACGUGCCCUCUGGUUCGGAAUACCUCAGUGAAACUUGAGCUCAUACCGGAUACGCCCUUUUGGGGUAAGGCUUGCUGCCGGAUGAUCGGCCCUCGUCUGAUUAGCUAGUUGGUGAGGUAACGGCUCACCAAGGCGACGAUCAGUAGCUGGUAUGAGAGGAGGAUCAGCCACACUGGGACUGAGACACGGACCAGAAUCCUACGGGAGGGAGCAGUGGGGAAUAUUGGACAAGGGGCGCAAGUCUGAUAAAGCCAUGCCGCGUGAGUGAUGAAGGGCUUAGGGUGGUAAAGCUCUUUUAUCCGGGACGAUAAUGACGGUACCGGAGGAAUAAGCACCGGCUAACUUCGUG